rnacentral:sRNA from 1 species
CGGAAGGAUAAGGAGGCUGGGUCUCGAC